rnacentral:rRNA from 1 species
AUUGAACGCUGGCGGCGUGCCUAAUACAUGCAAGUCGAACGGAGUGGCGCACGGGCGAGUAAUGUAUAGCUAAUCUGCCCUACACUAGAGGACAACAGUUGGAAACGGCUGCUAAUACUCCAUAGUGUAGGAUGAGGCUAUAUUGUAUCAGCUAGUUGGUGAGGUAAUGGCUCACCAAGGCUAUGACGCAUAACUGGUCUGAGAGGAUGAUCAGUCACACUGGACCUGAGACACGGUCCGGACUCCUACGGGAGGCAGCAGUAGGGAAUAGUGCUCAAUGGGGGAAACCCUGAAGCAGCAACGCGGCGUGGAGGAUGACACUUUUCGGAGCGUAAACUCCUUUUGUUAUGGAAGCGGUACCUAACGAAUAAGCACCGGCUAACUCCGUGCCAGCAGCCGCGGUAAUAC